CCUACGGGGGGCAGCAGUGAGGAAUAUUGGUCAAUGGACGAGAGUCUGAACCAGCCAAGUCGCGUGAAGGAUGACUGCCCUAUGGGUUGUAAACUUCUUUUAUAUGGGAAUAAAACAGGGUAUGCAUACCCUCUUGUAUGUACCAUAUGAAUAAGGAUCGGCUAACUCCGUGCCAGCAGCCGCGGUAAUACGGAGGAUCCGAGCGUUAUCCGGAUUUAUUGGGUUUAAAGGGAGCGUAGGCGGAUUGUUAAGUCAGUGGUGAAAGGUUGGGGCUCAACCGGAAAAUUGCAGUUGAAACUGGCAGUCUUGAGUAGAGUAGAGGUGGGCGGAAUGCGUGGUGUAGCGGUGAAAUGCUUAGAUAUCACGAAGAACUCCGAUUGCGAAGGCAGCUUACUGGACUGCAACUGACACUGAGGCACGAAAGUGUGGGUAUCAAACAGGAUUAGAUACCCGAGUAGUC
rnacentral:rRNA from 1 species